rnacentral:rRNA from 1 species
GAUGAACGCUGGCGGCGUGCCUAAUACAUGCAAGUCGAGCGAACAGACGAGGAGCUUGCUCCUCUGACGUUAGCGGCGGACGGGUGAGUAACACGUGGAUAACCUACCUAUAAGACUGGGAUAACUUCGGGAAACCGGAGCUAAUACCGGAUAAUAUAUUGAACCGCAUGGUUCAAUAGUGAAAGACGGUUUUGCUGUCACUUAUAGAUGGAUCCGCGCCGCAUUAGCUAGUUGGUAAGGUAACGGCUUACCAAGGCAACGAUGCGUAGCCGACCUGAGAGGGUGUUCGCCCCCCCUGGACUUGGGACCCGGCCCGGCCUCCCCCGGGAGGCAGCGGGCGGAACUCUUCCCCAAUGGGCGAAACCCUGCCGGAGCAACCCCGCGUGAGUUAUAAAGGUCUUCGGUUCGUAAAACUUUUUUUUUAGGGAAAAACAAAUGUGUAGGUACCUAUGCCCUUUUUGCCGGUACCUAAUCAAAAACCCCCGGCUACCUCCGU